rnacentral:rRNA from 1 species
ACUCAAAUGAAUUGACGGGGGCCCGCACAAGCGGUGGAGCGUGUGGUUUAAUUCGACGCUAAGCGAAGAACCUUACCAGGGUUUGACAUCCCAGUCGUACUGCUUGGAAACAAGCAGGUCAGUUCGGCUGGACUGGUGACAGGUGCUGCAUGGUCGUCGUCAGCUCGUGUCGUGAGAUGUUGGGUUAAGUCCCGCAACGAGCGCAACCCUUGUCGUGUGUUGUAUUUUUCACGCGAGACUGCCUCGGUCAACGAGGAGGAAGGUGGGGAUGAUGUCAGAUCAGCAUGGCCCUUAUACCCUGGGCGACACACGCGCUACAAUGGCCGAUACAAUGGGUUUGCGAAACCGCAAGGUGAAGCUAAUCCCAUCAAAGUCGGUCCCAGUUCGAAUUGGAGGCUGCAACUCGCCUCCAUGAAGCCGGAAUCGCUAGUAAUCGCGGAUCAGCCAUGCCGCGGUGAAUACGUUCUCGGGCCUUGUACACACCGCCCGU